rnacentral:lncRNA from 1 species
UCGUGGGGCCGGCCUUGAGGCUCCACGGGUCGCCGCCGGCGAAGGCGGCGACGAACGAGGCGGCGGCGAGGGAUAUCGCGAGAACUGCUGUGGUCAGGGCUGCUCUCUUCUUCAUGUCUGUUCUUGUGACCUAUCGAUGUCCAGUGUCGAUUGUUCCUAUUGCUUGAACAUAAUAAAAAGAACAUGCGCAUAUAAAAAUAAUAAAAAUGUGGAGGUGCAUUUAUUUCUUAGAAAGAUAUAUUACAAGCAAGCAAAUCUCC